rnacentral:rRNA from 1 species
AGUGAACGCUGGCGGUAGGCCUAACACAUGCAAGUCGAACGGCAGCACAGUAAGAGCUUGCUCUUACGGGUGGCGAGUGGCGGACGGGUGAGGAAUACAUCGGAAUCUACUUUUUCGUGGGGGAUAACGUAGGGAAACUUACGCUAAUACCGCAUACGACCUACGGGUGAAAGCAGGGGAUCUUCGGACCUUGCGCGAUUGAAUGAGCCGAUGUCGGAUUAGCUAGUUGGCGGGGUAAAGGCCCACCAAGGCGACGAUCCGUAGCUGGUCUGAGAGGAUGAUCAGCCACACUGGAACUGAGACACGGUCCAGACUCCUACGGGAGGGAGCAGUGGGGAAUAUUGGACAAUGGGCGCAAGCCUGAUCCAGACAUACCGCGUGGGUGAAGAAGGCCUUCGGGUUGUAAAGCCCUUUUGUUGGGAAAGAAAAGCAGCAGGUUAAUACCCCGCUGUUCUGACGGUACCCAAAGAAUAAGCACCGGCUAACUUCGUG